rnacentral:rRNA from 1 species
GAUGAACGCUGGCGGCGUGCCUAAUACAUGCAAGUCGAGCGAACAGACGAGGAGCUUGCCCCUCUGACGUACGCGGCGGACGGGUGAGUAACAUGUGGAUAACCUACCUAUAAGACUGGGAUAACUUCGGGAAACCGGAGCUAAUACCGGCAAAAAUAUUCAACAGCAUGGUUCAAUAGUGUAAGACGGCUUUGCUGUCACUUAUAGAUGGAUCCGCGCCGCAUUAGCUAGUUGGUAAGGUAACGGCUUACCAAGGCGACGAUGCGUAGCCGACCUGAGAGGGUGAUCGGCCACACUGGAACUGAGACACGGUCCAGACUCCUACGGGAGGCAGCAGUAGGGAAUCUUGCGCAAUGGGCGAAAGCCUGACGGAGCAACGCCGCGUGAGUGAUGAAGGUCUUCGGAUCGUAAAACUCUGUUAGUAGGGAAGAACAAAUGUGUAUGUAACUAUGCACGUCUUGACGGUACCUAAUCAGAAAGCCACGGCUAACUACGUG